GAUCAUAGAAAACAGGAAGGCCCUAGCAGAAAACAUAAAUACUUUAGUUUAGAGACAAAAAGAGAGCUCACUGGGGAAGAGGGAGUCCCAAAAUCAAAUCCUGUUAGACAUACAAGGGCAAUCUGCAAAAAUCAAGGGCCCAAAUGCAUCUACCAGUCAUUCAAACAUGUUCAGGCUAGAUUCAUCAGGGAAUGCAAACUGUAGACAAAGAAGAGUCUAAACAAAGGCCAUGUCUGAGUCAUUUAGCAUCAUCCUAUAAUGUUACCAAUUACCAAAACCUUAAAUAAGUCCGAAAUACACAUAUAGUACUCUAUUAUUAAAUUCAUUAUUCCUUAAUUGUACAACUGAUAAUAGCCCAAAUUUAAUUGCAAUUGGGACAGAAAAUGAAACUCAAAAAGAAACAAAAAGCAAUAAUGCAAAAAUACCUGCAACACAGAGAACUCAUAUG
rnacentral:misc_RNA from 1 species